GUGGGGAAUAUUGGACAAUGGGCGAAAGCCUGAUCCAGCCAUGCCGCGUGUGUGAAGAAGGUCUUCGGAUUGUAAAGCACUUUAAGUUGGGAGGAAGGGCAGUAAGUUAAUACCUUGCUGUUUUGACGUUACCAACAGAAUAAGCACCGGCUAACUUCGUGCCAGCAGCCGCGGUAAUACGAAGGGUGCAAGCGUUAAUCGGAAUUACUGGGCGUAAAGCGCGCGCAGGUGGUUCAGCAAGUUGGAGGUGACAUCCCCGGGCUCAACCUGGGAACUGCCUCCAAAACUACUGAGCUAGAGUACGGUAGAGGGUAGUGGAAUUUCCUGUGUAGCGGUGAAAUGCGUAGAUAUAGGAAGGAACACCAGUGGCGAAGGCGACUACCUGGACUGAUACUGACACUGAGGUGCGAAAGCGUGGGGAGCAAACAGGAUUAGAAACCCUAGUAGUCC
rnacentral:rRNA from 1 species